GACUUCUGGUUUAAUGCACCUGGCUCGCGGCCCACAAGGCCUGUGAGUGCCGGCGCGCGUUUACCUUCCAGCAACGGCUACCCUUAACUGGGCUGGAACUGGAUCUUAAAAAAUUCGAGUGUUUAAGCAGGCGUUUGCUCUGAAUUCCUUAGCAGGAAUAAUAAUCUAGGACUUCGGUUCUAUUUUGUUGGUUUCUCUAACUGAAGGAAGGAUUUAGAGGGGUAGUUGGGGGUCUAGAAUUGGCCAGAGGUGAAAUUCUUGGAUUUCAAGACUAACUUAUGCGAAAGCAUU
rnacentral:rRNA from 1 species